UUUCCGUAGCCAAUGCUGCCUGACCGUGUCUGCAGUGGUUCUGCGGCUUCCUUUCGUGCCUUAUUGCAAGGGCCUUAUCUCGUUCAACAUUAUUAUUUUUUUAGAGGAUAAGAUAGCAGUGUUAGCUCUACACAGGAUUAUCAGCCUGCACAAUUGCCGUUACCUGUACUUGGUAUUCACCGUGAAGGCAGAAAAACCUUCCAAGACUUGUGAAACCAAUCUGAAGCAGGAUUGGGGAAGGAGCGGGUAGAGAACAGAAAAGAAAGAAAAUCAGCUGAGAGCUAAGAAAUAAAUCUCAGCCGUGGUGGAGGAGGUUGUUCACACUACACUCACCGUCUGGGGAAGCCUGCUGGUUGAAUCCCUGGUGGGCGGGCAGAACUGAUUCAGGAGUUGAGUUUGCAUGGCCAUUGUCUUUGGCACACUGUCUAACACGUUUAAUGGGGUUUCCUUCUAAGGACCGCCUGAUCAUGACCAAGUGGCAAA